UGCCUCAGCUGUAGAUGAGGAGCCGAGCAGAAGAUGGGUGAGCCGAGCUAAAAAAACCUAUCACCUGCGUCUGGCCUCGGCCCAGAGCCCGUCUGCCUUGGCAUACUCUGUGCUGGGACGGGUGAGGAGCAGGACGGAUCUGGCCAUGGAGAGCUGUUGGUGGAUGAAGAUUUGGACAUCUGGUCCCAGUGGCAUCCUUUCCUCCUGCAGGCGUGCUGCUGUAGCAAAACCCUGCCUCUCCUCUGUCGCUGGUUUGCACAGCACUGAAUUCUCACCCAGGAGCUGGGCAGCUCUGGGCAAGCUGGCUGGCUGAGAAGAGAGUGGAAGUGAGGUUCAGACCCUUCCAAGCAUCAUGGAUGCUUCAGAGAGGUUUUGGUGUGACUUCAAGUGUGACACAUUUCUGUGAUACUAACCUGUUGCUUCAGGCUACUGUCCAUGCUUGUGGGUCUGGAGGGGACCAAAACAUGAUGCUUCAGAGGAGGACAUUUUGUAAUCCACGGGCAGCUUGCUGGAACUUCAAGUGUUAACUUCAAACCAACGCUUGUCAUCGUUCCAGGGGUACUCCAGUGUCACUUGCUGAUGUAGACUCCUCUCAGCCCUGUGUACGACACAGAUGGAAAACGGAAACGAGAAAUGAUAGGCUAAAGUGGGAUCUGAAGCUUUCUUUGAGAGGACAACUGAUUUCUGUGGUCAUCAAUGCAUCUAUCCACUGAUGGAGCAAUGAAGCACUGAGAGCUGCUGAGCCAGACAGAGAGGAAACACAUCUCGCAGAUGUUAUGUGGAUCAGCCAAUUUUCAACACGUAAUAGAAAUGUUUCCCUUUGGAUACAGGGUGAAUCAUGAAAACUGUAGAAAAUGUCAGAGCACUUUCUGCAAUGGCCCCAAUUUUGUUAUGUUACUGCUCUUCCUACACCAAGACAUAGCUUUUUAGCCACUUUGAUUGCUGAAGGGCCAAAAAUUCGCCUGGAUCUGGGAGCAACUCCUGUGCUAUUAUUCCUACAGACCAGCAUGAGCAUUGGCAAGCUGCGGGUGCUUCACCCACAGCUGUGCUUUGCCAACUUUACCAGCCUCCCAGGCAGAGAGCCCUGCUGAUGUGCCAGAGCUCACCGCAAAGCCGCCGUGUUGACACCAGGGAUGUGACAGUCCUUAUCCGGCCACAAACGUGUUCAAAAGCAUUGGGGAAUGGCCUGAGUUACCUGAAGCAUUUACUAAUUGUUUGGUGAUGACGCAAAUAGCAGGGUCCAAUUUCAGCCGUGCAGUCAGCUCCUGGGCAGGGACGGCCUGCUCAGCUCUUCCUGCUCCCAAUAUCCUGGUGGCAGACAGGGCUGAAAAUCCCCCUGGUGCUGGAGUCCCGUUGUAAGUAGGCUGUAUUGAAAGGGACAUUUAAUCUCUUUUGAAGUGAAAUACUCCUGCCUGUGGCCCUUUUUCUGAUUUAACCCUGUGUGGUUUUUCACCCACGUCUGUGUAGAAACCAUGUUUUGGGGAUCUGUCCGAGCACCAUUUCACAUGUGUUCGCUCUACACGCUUUUGUUAUUGACCAAAACUAUGAUAUUAAAAUCACAUUCACUGA